GUCUUAUUGAAUAUAAAUGAUAAGUUUAUUCUGCCCAUUGAAUAAAAUUUAAAAGGCUGCAGUAUAUUGACUGUACAAAGGUAGCAAAAUCAAUAGUUUUUUAAUUGAAAACUUGAAUGAAAGAAUUGAUAAAAUAUAAACUGUCUCAAAUUAAUUUAUUUUGAAUUUAAAUUAAAAGUUAAAAUGCUUUUAUAAAUUUAUUAGACGAUAAGACCCUAAGAAUUUGAAAAUGUAAUUUAUAAAAUUAAUUUUGUAAUUUUUUAUUUUAUAAAUUUGUAUUUUUUUAUUGGGAGGGUAAUUAAAUUUUUAAACUUUAAUUUUAUAUAAACAAAGAUAAAUGAAUAUUGAUGAUAAUUUUUAUAAUUAUAAGAAUUAAUUACCUUAGGGAUAACAGCGUAAUAAUUUUGGAAAGUUCAUAUUAAUAAAAUUGAUUGC
rnacentral:rRNA from 1 species